rnacentral:rRNA from 1 species
GACGAACGCUGGCGGCGUGCUUAACACAUGCAAGUCGAACGGAAAGGCCCUGCUUUUGUGGGGUGCUCGAGUGGCGAACGGGUGAGUAACACGUGAGUAACCUGCCCUUGACUUUGGGAUAACUUCAGGAAACUGGGGCUAAUACCGGAUAGGAGCUCCUGCUGCAUGGUGGGGGUUGGAAAGUUUCGGCGGUUGGGGAUGGACUCGCGGCUUAUCAGCUUGUUGGUGGGGUAGUGGCUUACCAAGGCUUUGACGGGUAGCCGGCCUGGGGGGGUGACCGGCCACAUUGGGACUGGGAUACGGCCCAGACUCCUACGGGGGGCAGCGGUGGGGAAUAUGGCACAAUGGGCGGAAGCCUGAUGCAGCAACGCCGCGUGCGGGAUGACGGCCUUCGGGUUGUAACCCGCUUUCGCCUGUGACGAAGCGUGAGUGACGGUAAUGGGUAAAGAAGCACCGGCUAACUACGUG